ensembl:snRNA U6 U6 spliceosomal RNA
UUGCUCGCUUCAGCAGCACCUAUGUUAAAAUUGGAGCGAUACAGAGAAGGUUAGCAUGGCCCUGGUGCAAGGAUGCCCCUGUCCUACAGUGGAUUUCAAUUCACUG